rnacentral:rRNA from 1 species
UACAGAGGUGGCAAGCGUUGUUCGGAAUUACUGGGCGUAAAGGGCGCGUAGGCGGCCUUCUAAGUCGGACGUGAAAUCCCCAGGCUUAACUUGGGAACUGCGUCUGAUACUGGAAGGCUUGAGUGCGGGAGAGGGAUGCGGAAUUCCAGGUGUAGCGGUGAAAUGCGUAGAUAUCUGGAGGAACACCGGUGGCGAAGGCGGCAUCCUGGACCGAUACUGACGCUGAGGAGCGAAAGCCAGGGGAGCAAACGGG